rnacentral:rRNA from 1 species
ACGGGAGGCAGCAGUGAGGAAUAUUGGUCAAUGGUCGGAAGACUGAACCAGCCAAGUCGCGUGCAGGAAGACGGUCCUAUGGAUUGUAAACUGCUUUUGUACGGGAAUAAAGUGGGGGACGUGUCCCCUUUGGAAUGUACCGUAAGAAUAAGGGUCGGCUAACUCCGUGCCAGCAGCCGCGGUAAUACGGAGGACCCGAGCGUUAUCCGGAUUUAUUGGGUUUAAAGGGUGCGCAGGCGGCUUAUUAAGUCAGCGGUGAAAUGUAAGGGCUCAACCCUGGCACUGCCGUUGAAACUGGUAAGCUUGAGUACGGUUGAAGUUAUCGGAAUGUGACGUGUAGCGGUGAAAUGCAUAGAUAUGUCACAGAACACCAAUUGCGAAGGCAGAUGACUAAACCGCAACUGACGCUCAUGCACGAAAGCGUGGGGAUCGAACAGGAUUAGAUACCCUGGUA